rnacentral:rRNA from 1 species
AGAGUUUGAUUCUGGCUCAGAACGAACGCUGGCGGCGUGGAUUAGGCAUGCAAGUCGAACGCGAAGCCGAUGAACAAUCUUUCGGGAGAGUGAUUCGGUGGAAAGUGGCGGAAGGGUGAGUAACGCGUGGGUAAGCUACCUCGGAGUUGGGGACAACCAGAUGAAAAUCUAGCUAAUACCGAAUGUGGUCCUUUGGCACAUGCCAAGGUGACUAAAGGUGGGGCUCCUUUAUUGGACCUGCCGCUUUGAGAUGCACCCGCGUGCCAUCAGCUUGUUGGUAGGGUAACGGCCUACCAAGGCUUACGGCUAGCCGGCCUGAGAGGGUGAUCGGCCACACUGGGACUGAGACACUGCCCAGACUCCUACGGGAGGCUGCAGUCGAGGAUCAUUCGCAAUGCGCGAAAGCGUGACGAUGCGACGCUGCGUGGGGGAUGAAGGCCUUCGGGUCGUAACUCCUGUCAUGAGGGAAAAGUAUCCCUGCGACGAAUAGUCGCGGGGCUCGAUGGUACCUCAAGAGGAAGCCACGGCUAACUCUGUGCCAGCAGCCGCGGUAAUACAGAGGUGGCGAGCGUUGUUCGGAUUUACUGGGCGUAAAGGGUGCGUAGGUGGUUUCGUGUGUCGGAUGUGAAAGCCCAUGGCUCAACCGUGGAAUUGCAUUCGAAACUGCAGAACUAGAGUGCAGGAUGGGAGAGCGGAAUUCUUGGUGUAGCGGUGAAAUGCGUUGAUAUCAAGAAGAACACCGGUGGCGAAGGCGGCUCUCUGGAAUGCUACUGACACUGAGGCACGAAAGCUGGGGGAGCAAACAGGAUUAGAUACCCUGGUAGUCCCAGCCGUAAACGGUGCACACUUGGUGUGGGGAGAUUUAACCCUCUCCGUGCCGGAGCUAACGCGUUAAGUGUGCCGCCUGGGGAGUACGGCCGCAAGGCUAAAACUCAAAGAAAUUGACGGGGGCCCGCACAAGCGGAGGAGCAUGUGGCUUAAUUCGAUGCAACGCGAAGAACCUUACCAGGGCUUGACAUAUACCUGCAAACCCCGUGAAAGCGGGGAAUCCUUCGAGGGUGGUAUACAGGUGCUGCAUGGCUGUCGUCAGUUCGUGCCGUGAGGUGUUGGGUUAAGUCCCGUAACGAACGCAACCCUUGUGACUAGUUGCCACCGGCGGUGAUGAGCCGCCGAGCACUCUAGUCAGACUGCCCGUACAAGCGGGAGGAAGGUGGGGAUGACGUCAAGUCAGUAUGGCCCUUACGCCCUGGGCUGCACACGUGCUACAAUGGUCGGUACAAUGGGAUGCAAUAUCGCGAGGUGGAGCAAAUCCAGAAAGCCGGCCUCAGUUCGGAUUGAAGUCUGCAACUCGACUUCAUGAAGU